UAAGAUCAACAAUAAGGGCUGCUAACCCUAAACAAAUGAACUUCAUUUGAUCUUUA
rnacentral:tRNA from 1 species